rnacentral:rRNA from 1 species
ACGGCUCAGUAACACGUGGACAACCUACCCUCAGAUCUGGGAUAACUCCGGGAAACUGGAGAUAAUACCGGAUAAUCCGUGAACGCUGGAAUGCCUUACGGUUCAAAGCUUUAGCGUCUGAGGAUGGGUCUGCGGCCGAUUAGGUAGUUGCUGGGGUAACGUCCCAACAAGCCGAUAAUCGGUACGGGUUGUGAGAGCAAGAGCCCGGAGAUGGAUUCUGAGACACGAAUCCAGGUCCUACGGGGCGCAGCAGGCGCGAAAACUUUACACUGCGCGAAAGCGCGAUAAGGGGACCUCGAGUGCGUGCGCAAUGCGUACGCUUUUCAUAUGCCUAAAAAGCAUGUGGAAUAAGGGCCGGGCAAGACCGGUGCCAGCCGCCGCGGUAACACCGGCGGCUCAAGUGGUGGCCGCUAUUAUUGGGCUUAAAGGGUCCGUAGCCGGACCAGUUAGUCCCUUGGGAAAUCUUACGGCUUAACCGUAAGGCUGCCAAUGGAUACUGCUGGUCUUGGGACCGGGAGAGGCAAGAGGUACCUCAGGGGUAGGAGUGAAAUCCUGUAAUCCUUGAGGGACCGCCAGUGGCGAAGGCGUCUUGCUAGAACGGGUCCGACGGUGAGGGACGAAAGCUAGGGGCACGAACCGGAUUAGAUACCCGGGUAGUCCUAGCCGUAAACGAUGCGAGCUAGGUGUCACGUGGAUUGCGAAUCCAUGUGGUGCCGUAGGGAAACCGUGAAGCUCGCCGCCUGGGAAGUACGGCCGCAAGGCUGAAACUUAAAGGAAUUGGCGGGGGAG